AUUGAACGCUGGCGGCAGGCCUAACACAUGCAAGUCGAGCGGAGCGGCGGACGGGUGCGUAAUGCCUAGGAGUCUGCCUGGUAGUGGGGGAUGACGUCCGGCAACGGGCGCUAAUACCGCAUACUAUCAGAUGAGCCUAGGUCGGAUUCUCUAGUUGGUGGGGUAAAGGCCUACCAAGGCGACGAUCCGUAACUGGUCUGAGAGGAUGAUCAGUAAAACUGGAACGGAGAAAGGGUCAGUACUCUAACGGAAGGAAGAAGUGGGGAAUAGUGGAAAAUGGGGAAAAGCCUGAUCAAGCAAUGCGGCGUGGGUGAAGAAGGUCUUCGGAUUUUAAAGCACUUUAAGUUGGGAGGCGGUACCAACAGAAUAAGCAACGGCUAACUUCGUGCCAGCAGCCGCGGUAAUAC
rnacentral:rRNA from 1 species